rnacentral:rRNA from 1 species
UACGAAGGGGGCUAGCGUUGUUCGGAAUUACUGGGCGUAAAGCGCGCGCAGGCGGUCUUCCAAGUCAGUGGUGAAAGCCCGGAGCUCAACUCCGGAACUGCCAUUGAAACUGUGAGACUUGAGGAUGAGAGAGGUGAGUGGAAUUCCCAGUGUAGAGGUGAAAUUCGUAGAUAUUGGGAAGAACACCGGUGGCGAAGGCGGCUCACUGUCUCAUUUCUGACGCUCAGGCGCGACAGCGUGGGGAUCAAACAGG